UACGUAGGGUGCAAGCGUUGUCCGGAAUCAUUGGGCGUAAAGAGCUCGUAGGCGGUCUGUCGCGUCUGCUGUGAAAACCUGGGGCUUAACCCUGGGCUUGCAGUGGGUACGGGCAGACUAGAGUGCGGUAGGGGAGACUGGAAUUCCUGGUGUAGCGGUGAAAUGCGCAGAUAUCAGGAAGAACACCCGUGGCUAAGGCGGCUCUCUAGUACGUGACUGACGCUGAGACGCGAAAGCGUGGGGAGCGAACAGG
rnacentral:rRNA from 1 species